UACGAAGGGUGCAAGCGUUACUCGGAAUUACUGGGCGUAAAGCGUGCGUAGGUGGUUUGUUAAGUCUGAUGUGAAAGCCCUGGGCUCAACCUGGGAAUUGCAUUGGAUACUGGCAGGCUAGAGUGCGGUAGAGGGUAGUGGAAUUCCCGGUGUAGCAGUGAAAUGCGUAGAGAUCGGGAGGAACGUCCGUGGCGAAGGCGACUACCUGGACCAGCACUGACACUGAGGCACGAAAGCGUGGGGAGCAAACAGG
rnacentral:rRNA from 1 species